GCGGUACGUGAGCUGGGUUCAGAACGUCGUGAGACAGUUCGGUCCCUCUCCGUCGCCAGCGGAGGAUGUUUGCGGGGGGCUGCUCCUAGUACGAGAGGACCGGAGUGGACGGACCGCUGGUGAGACCAGUUGUGCCGCCAGGCGCAAGGCUGGGAAGCUAGGUCCGGGAGGGCGAAGCGCUGACCGCAUCUAAGCGCGAAGCCGGCCCCAAGAUGAGACAUCCGCGCCCGGGGAACGGGCGACAGACCCCCGCGAGACGAGCGGGUGGAUAGGCGGGCCGUGGAGGCGCGGUAACGCGUAGAGCGAGCCCGUACUAAGCGGUCGAGGACUUCCUCCU
rnacentral:rRNA from 1 species